UACGUAGGGGGCUAGCGUUGUCCGGAUUUAUUGGGCGUAAAGCGCACGUAGGCGGUCUGUUAAGUCGGAUGUGAAAGCCCCGGGCUCAACCCGGGAAGUGCAUACGAAACUGGCGGACUUGAAUAUGGAAGAGGGUCGCGGAAUUCCCGGUGUAGAGGUGAAAUUCGUAGAUAUCGGGAGGAACACCAGUGGCGAAGGCGGCGACCUGGGCCAAUAUUGACGCUAAUGUGCGAAAGCGUGGGGAGCAAACAGG
rnacentral:rRNA from 1 species